AGAGUUUGAUCCUGGCUCAGGAUGAACGCCGGCGGUGUGCCUAAUACAUGCAAGUCGAACGCGUUGGCCCAAUUGAUUGAUGGUGCUUGCACCUGAUUGAUUUUGGUUGCCAGCGAGUGGCGGACGGGUGAGUAACACGUAGGUAACCUGCCCAGAAGCGGGGGACAACAUUUGGAAACAGAUGCUAAUACCGCAUAACAACGUUGUUCGCAUGAACAACGCUUAAAAGAUGGCUUCUCGCUAUCACUUCUGGAUGGACCUGCGGUGCAUUAGCUUGUUGGUGGGGUAACGGCCUACCAAGGCGAUGAUGCAUAGCCGAGUUGAGAGACUGAUCGGCCACAAUGGGACUGAGACACGGCCCAUACUCCUACGGGAGGCAGCAGUAGGGAAUCUUCCACAAUGGGCGCAAGCCUGAUGGAGCAACACCGCGUGAGUGAAGAAGGGUUUCGGCUCGUAAAGCUCUGUUGUUAAAGAAGAACACGUAUGAGAGUAACUGUUCAUACGUUGACGGUAUUUAACCAGAAAGUCACGGCUAACUACGUGCCAGCAGCCGCGGUAAUACGUAGGUGGCAAGCGUUAUCCGGAUUUAUUGGGCGUAAAGAGAGUGCAGGCGGUUUUCUAAGUCUGAUGUGAAAGCCUUCGGCUUAACCGGAGAAGUGCAUCGGAAACUGGAUAACUUGAGUGCAGAAGAGGGUAGUGGAACUCCAUGUGUAGCGGUGGAAUGCGUAGAUAUAUGGAAGAACACCAGUGGCGAAGGCGGCUACCUGGUCUGCAACUGACGCUGAGACUCGAAAGCAUGGGUAGCGAACAGGAUUAGAUACCCUGGUAGUCCAUGCCGUAAACGAUGAGUGCUAGGUGUUGGAGGGUUUCUCUACCAGCUGAGCUAAGUUGGCAAAAAAGAUGGCGCUGAUGCUGAUUCGCACCAACACCAUCUGAAGAACUCCGGAUGCCAGACUCGAACUGGCGACAGCCUGAUUAACAGUCAGGUGCUCUACCGACUGAGCUAAUCCGGAAUAACGCGUGGCAACGUCCUAUCCUCGCAGGGGGCGAUCCCCCAACUACUUUUGGCGUGCUGAAGCUU
rnacentral:rRNA from 1 species